AUGUCUGCUAGGAUGGUGGCAAGCAAGGGAGAGGAUUUUUUUUCCCGUAUUUAUUCACCUGGAAGGGCAGACGUUGUCAAUUUCCUCCUCCUGCCACACAAGUGGCCACGUCCUUGUCACUGGGGCUGCGCGGAGGUUCUCACCUCCCACCUUCUCCCAGGGAUGUUUAGGGCAAGGGAACGGGUCGGGCUGGGCCGAGGAGGGCCCGGGCGUCGGCGCCCACCCCCGUCUCCACCCGCGGCAGCAGCUGUGGGCGCCGGGCGAGGGCUCCCUGGGCAGCGCCUUUGUUUUCCCGACUCCAAUUACGUUUGCGGAAGUGCUGCCAGCGCCGGGCGCGAAGGGGGCGCAGGCGGCAGCCUCCCCCAGCACCCCACAAAGAUGACACUCGACUCGGAAGCCGGGGGAGGGAGGCAGCGGCGGGUGAGCCAGGCCGAGAGCCGAGUCGGCGGCGCACGCUCGGAUGCCGGCCCCGGAUCCGAAGCCCCUUUCCGGCAGCAGGUGUGCGCGGCAGAGGGUCUCCCCGCCCUCCGGCUGGGCCCGUCGCAGGCGCGGGAGACCAGGGCUGGGCUGCGAGCCCCUUCCCCGCACGCCGAGCCCGACUCACCUGCUGCGGCGACGGCAGCGCUCAGCUGCGCGGGGCGCCGGGAGCCCUGUUCCCGGAGCGCGGGGCGGCGGCUUGGGGCCCCGGGGCGGCGCGCAUCAUCGCUGGCAGCUGGCGCGCUCCUCGGGGGCUGCGGCUGGCGGGGCGGGGCGCGGCAAGGGUUGCGGACCGGGUGGGGCCGCCGAGUACGGAGGCGGAGGGCCGAGAGCUCCCGCCGGCACGACCUUCUCUCACGCUGCGGCUCCUCCUCCUCCUCCCUGGCCGGGGCCUCACCGCCGCCGCCGCUGCUCACUACCGGCUGGACCCGUUCAGGGCCGGGCGCCGAGGACCGGCCGCCAGGUGCAGCGCUCCGCCUCCUGCGGCGGCGGCGGAUGCGUCGACCGCCCGCUCCCGGCCUCCCGCCCGCCCCGGCGGCCCCUAGGGACCCCUGA
rnacentral:lncRNA from 1 species